AACAAUCUCCUGAUGCUGCCUGAGUGUUUUUCUUCCACUCCAGCAUCAGUGAUUUUGUUG
rnacentral:pre_miRNA from 2 species